GAAUGCUUCCCAAUGCAUCGAACAUUGCUUCAACUACUGCUAAACUACCAUGAACUUGGAAUUCACAAGAGUCUUCACCUGUGAAGCUGUUUGGUCCUGUGAAAAAAGAAGUUUAACUACUUUAUUCGCUGCCAAACUAAGAUGAUAAAGGGAUCUCAAUGUAGCAUAUCGAUCUCUUGGAGUGAAAUUCUCAGAAACAAUAGCACGUAGAGCCUGUGUUGUUUGUGGUCCUGACACACGAAUGACCGACACCCCACAUUUGCCAUAACCUUCGUUUUGCGAUCCAAUUCAAUUGCUGUGGCAUUUUUGUACCCAACCUG